UAUGGUGCAAGCGUUAUCCGGAUUUACUGGGUGUAAAGGGAGCGUAGGCGGUCUGCCAAGUCUGAUGUGAAAACCCGGGGCUCAACCCCGGGAGUGCAUUGGAAACUGGCGGACUGGAGUGUCGGAGAGGUAAGCGGAAUUCCUAGUGUAGCGGUGAAAUGCGUAGAUAUUAGGGGGAACACCAGUGGCGAAGGCGGCUUACUGGACGAUAACUGACGCUGAGGCUCGAAAGCGUGGGGAGCAAA
rnacentral:rRNA from 1 species